rnacentral:rRNA from 1 species
GACGAACGCUGGCGGCGUGCUUAACACAUGCAAGUCGAACGGAAAGGCCCUGCUUUUGUGGGGUGCUCGAGUGGCGAACGGGUGAGUAACACGUGAGUAACCUGCCCUUGACUUUGGGAUAACUUCAGGAAACUGGGGCUAAUACCGGAUAGGAGCUCCUGCUGCAUGGUGGGGGUUGGAAAGUUUCGGCGGUUGGGGAUGGACUCGCGGCUUAUCAGCUUGUUGGUGGGGUAGUGGCUUACCAAGGCUUUGACGGGUAGCCGGCCUGAGAGGGUGACCGGCCACAUUGGGACUGGGAUACGGCCCAGACUCCUACGGGAGGCAGCAGUGGGGAAUAUUGCACAAUGGGCGGAAGCAUGAUGCAGCAACGCCGCGUGCGGGAUGACGGCCUUCGGGUUGUAAACCGCUUUCGCCUGUGACGAAGCGUGAGUGACGGUAAUGGGGAAAGAAGCACCGGCUAACUACGU